rnacentral:misc_RNA from 1 species
AUGGACUUUCUGUGAAUGAUGAUGCUUGGAGCGACAUUUUCUGUGACAUAACGAUGUCUGUCGAGUCAAGAUGAAGCUGAAGCAAUUAGAGAGCAACCUGCAGCAAGUGGAUGUGUUUGAGAUGCCAAAGAUUCUCCUGGAGCAGUACCCAACCAGGCCUCAUAUUGCAGCGUGCAUGCUGCACACCAUGGAGGCUAGGUAUGGGGAUCUCCAGGGUAAACUUGUCGCUGAUCUGGGCUGUGGAUGUGGUGUGCUAAGCAUCGGCGCUGCCAUGCUGCAAGCAGGCUUGGUCGUCGGCUUUGACAUUGAUGAAGAUGCCCUGGACAUCUGCGCCCAGAACAUCGAAGAGUUUGACCUGGGGUCAAAUGUUGACCUGCUACAGUGUGACCUGACCUCGCUUGAGUCGGGACGUUGGGCCAAGCAGUUUGACACCGUUGUCAUGAAUCCUCCGUUUGGGACCAAGCAUAACAAAGGUACUGAUAUGGUAUUCUUGAGACAAGCACUAGACAUGGCUAGCACUGCAGUGUACUCCCUCCAUAAAACAUCCACAAGACAGCAUAUUGAGAAGAAAGCCAAGGAAUGGGGCACGCAUAUGGAAGUUGUUGCAGAGUUACGUUUUGAUUUGCCAGCGAGCUACAAGUUUCACAAACAGAAAUCGUGUGUCCAAUUUUGUCAACAGGUUGACAUUGAGGUGGAUUUUCUGAGAUUUUCAUGGACAGAAUCAUCUAGAGCAUCCGGGAAACCUGUGACGGUUCAGUAUGACGAGGCAAAGGCUUUGCUAAGUUGACAACAAAGAUGACCUCUGCCAACAGUGCUGGAGAACAGUGUUCAUGGUACAAGGUCUCAGAAUGUGGUCAUCGACUCAACGCAUGAACGGCAGAUGGUCAUUUUCAUGGACAGAAUCAUCUGGAGCAUCCAAGAAGCAGUAUGAGAAUGCAAAGGCAUUGUCUAGUUGACAAUUGUAAGGGAGAGCCCAUAGUCUUUUUGUCAAUAAUAACAAUUAUAUUGGGGCUAAUCAUCCUAGUACGCAGCUGAGAAGCUGAAGGACGCGGUUACAACGUGGUCAAGCCGGAGGCUUGUAAAGAGCAACGUCAGCAAGAACAAAAGUGUUGAUUUUUGCAGAGGGAGGAAAAAUGCAGAGCCUGGAGAAAACCCUCAUAGCACCAGAGAGAAUCAACAAACAAAAUCUACUCACAUAUGGUCCGAGCCGGGAAUCGAACCUGGGCCACAUUCAUGUGGUGGUUUUCCCUUUUAAAUGCCUGGGCCCCUUUCGUACCAGGAUUACGAUGUUUAUCAUUGACUGAGCCCAGUGCAACAUUAUCUGGUUAAAAAGGCCUUUAGUUACACCACAGGAAGCCAGUCCACGCUCUGUGGGUAUAGGAAUUCAUACACUCUCAUUCUGCAGUUCGUGUGCCGCAGCGACCACACUUACAGUCCAACAAAUUCAUGAUUUCUGCUGUUUGUGCAUCAACUUCAGUUAUCAAAAAAAAAAAGGAAAUCAUGGUUUCAUUACAAUACUAAGUUUGAUAUUUAAUUUAUGAAAAAUCUAGUUGCAUUUGGGCCACUGAAGAAUGAUUCAGGCAUGCCCAACAAGUGGUUCAGUCAAGCGACACUAAUUGUUCCCUGCUGGUGGAAGGUAUUACAUGUGGUGCUAAACUGCCCUGAGGAGAUAAAAUCUAGACAAAAAUCCUGAAUAUAACUGGGCUGGUCAGGUGUUCUGUUAAAAGAGGAUUCACGGCAUAAGUGUGAGAAUUCUUGUCAGUGUGUUUAAUAAACAGAUCGAAUAUUUUAACCCUAAACAGUUAAUAAAAUUGAUACAGACACAAAUUGA